GGAUAAAUUCGUCAUUCGAACGCCUA
rnacentral:piRNA from 1 species